GUAAUCGAGAAUUGUUCCAGACUGUGUUGCCGAUUGUCCCUUUGUUUACCAGUAGUCCAUUUUACGAAACGACAACAAUUAUUGUUGUUGCAACCGCCUCCUGUCAAAAUUUUAUUUUUCAAAUAGACAAAGGGGAAUUCCGAAACAUCUAGUAGAAUGGACUUCGACAAAUUGAUUGCAUUGUAAGGAAUAAGUAUUAUUAAUUUGGAAGUAUUAGCGUUAUAAAAGCCUUAAGUCGGUAUCUAAGAUGAGUGAAAAGCGAAGACCCAAUCAUUAUUGGUUAAUGGAUCCAUGGUACAAUCAACAAUACGUUAAAAAGCGCAAGAAAGCAGAACAGCCCCGGAGAACUACUACCGAUUAUCUUGUCAACGAUGGCGUCAACGAGGUUUUCAUAGAAUCAGGAGAAAGUUUGCAAACAGGUAUGCACAAGUUAAACGUUCUUGAUCCUCUUUUACAACAUAUGUUAUUUCAGAUACUUCUUCGGAUAUCUCCGAUAACAACAACACAAUCAAUCCAACAGAAGUAAACAGUUCAUUUUCAGUAGCAUCAGAAAGUGAAUUACCGGACCUUCACAAUAAUGAAUUACACGUUUCCAAUGAAGCCACUGAUCAGGAAGAUUCUCAAUCCGAUUUUAGCAGGCAAACGAGUUCGUGCAAUGCAUCGGAAGUGCCAAGUGAUUUCGAUAAUCAGAACAGGGAAGGAAUAGAGGAAUCGGUGAGAUGUUUUCUUAUGGGAUCCAACCACAAUGUUGCAUUAGAACUUUCACAAAAAUCUAUGAAGAUCUGACGAAAGAAACAUCAAACAUUGUCACUGUUCUAAUUAGCUGUUUGCAGUGGUACAAAAUAUAAAAUUAGAAGAUCAGGAUCGAUGGAUUGCUAUUUCAGCGUUUGUGAAAUGUGAAUAAAGGCCCAAAUCGGAA